rnacentral:rRNA from 1 species
UAAGGAAUAUUGGUCAAUGGACGCAAGUCUGAACCAGCCAUGCCGCGUGAAGGAUGAAGGUCCUCUGGAUUGUAAACUUCUUUUAUCUGGGACGAAAACGGGAUUUUUAUCUCAAUUGACGGUACCAGAGGAAUAAGCACCGGCUAACUCCGUGCCAGCAGCCGCGGUAAUACGGAGGGUGCGAGCGUUAUCCGGAUUUACUGGGUUUAAAGGGUGCGUAGGUGGGCUUAUAAGUCAGUGGUGAAAUCUCCGAGCUUAACUUGGAAACUGCCGUUGAUACUAUAGGUCUUGAACUAUCUGGAGGUAAGCGGAAUAUGUCAUGUAGCGGUGAAAUGCUUAGAUAUGACAUAGAACACCAAUUGCGAAGGCAGCUUACUACAUAUAAAUUGACGCUGAGGCACGAAAGCGUGGGGAUCAAACA